rnacentral:misc_RNA from 1 species
UUCAUCUUCGUCCCGAAUGAUCUGCAUUUUGUAAGCUCUCUUUCUCUCUCUACAAUGGAGAACGGUCUACCCGAAGAUCUCUCGGAUUCAACUCAGGUACCAGACUUCGACAAUGAUCAUUGUCUCUAUCUCGUCCCCUUCAGGUCUCUGAAUUUCUUUGCUUUCACUUGCGUGCAUUCUCCUCCAAACCUGAACCUUUGAUUAACUCUGGAGCUUCAUUUAGUUUCAUUCGAAUUUGUGCAAGGGGAGGUUCAAAUACCGUUCAAUUAUUUAGAAAUGUGAGAUCGAGGACUAGAAGAAUGAAAUUUUGAGAAAUGGGAUGUGAAUUGAAUUUGACUUUGUUAAAUGGGUGUACUUUGGAAUGUUUUGAAUAUUCAUUGCUAUUGUUUUCUUCCUAGCUUUGAAUUCUCGGCAUCCAAAAAGGGAAUCCUCAUGGAAAGAAUUUUUUUUAUUAUUAUUUUAAAUGUGCCGCGAAGUGGUUGGGCCUGCGUUUAAUUUGAUUGAAUUUGUUAAUUGGAUUUUUAGGUGGUGGAAGGAUGCGCAAGAAUCGACAUCUGAUGAAUCCGAUGGUAAGAGAGCGGUUCUGUACAAGGGAACUUCAGGUUCUUCCUAUGCGGGUCAUAUGAAGCUCAUCAACAACAUAUUCAACUCGGAUCUUGUAUUGAAUUUGAGGAAAUUGUUUUAUUUCCUUGACCAUUGUUGGAUUCAGGAUGAAAAUAAUUGGCAAAGGGUAUGAGUCAGGUGUACUUUACAUCCUUGAUAAGUGUGAACUGAGAUCUAUUGUUUGCUCCAGUACCUCAAAUGUUCUUGAAUAAAGAACCUCAAAUGUUCUUGAAUAAAGAAUAAAGAAGUUCAUUGUAGAUUGGGUCAU